UACGGGAGGCAGCAGUGGGGAAUAUUGCACAAUGGGCGCAAGCCUGAUGCAGCCAUGCCGCGUGUAUGAAGAAGGCCUUCGGGUUGUAAAGUACUUUCAGUCGUGAGGAAGGUGUUAAGGUUAAUAACCUUAGCAAUUGACGUUAGCGACAGAAGAAGCACCGGCUAACUCCGUGCCAGCAGCCGCGGUAAUACGGAGGGUGCGAGCGUUAAUCGGAAUUACUGGGCGUAAAGGGCACGCAGGCGGUUAAUUAAGUUGGAUGUGAAAUCCCCGGGCUUAACCUGGGAAUGGCAUUCAAGACUGGUUAGCUAGAGUCUUGUAGAGGGGGUAGAAUUCCAUGUGUAGCGGUGAAAUGCGUAGAGAUGUGGAGGAAUACCGGUGGCGAAGGCGGCCCCUGGACAAAGACUGACGCUCAGUGUGCGAAAGCGUGGGGAGCAAACAGGAUUAGAUACC
rnacentral:rRNA from 1 species